rnacentral:lncRNA from 1 species
CGCGGAGGUAGGGGAUGCAGGCUGGGGGUGAGCAGCAGCGACGGUGCCAUCGGCUGUCGCAUCGGCGUCCUCAGCCCCGCCCCGCGCCUAAGCGGCGCUCGCUGGGAGGGCCUGGCCAUCUUCGCGCGGUGGCCGGGCGCUCCCGGGGUCCCCUGCCUGUGCCCCGUUCCCCCAUCCAGAACCUGGGCUGGAGGUGCUAGGGAGCUCUGGGAGCCUGGGCUGCACGCAGGGAAGUGCUCUCGGCCGCCGGGGUCACAAGACUCCAGGGCUUCACAGUGCCCAAGGCUUGGUGGACAUCGAGCCCACCGGGGAAUCUUUGCCAUCAGCGCCGUGUUUUGAUGCCCGCGGCAAGGAACACCACGAAAUAGGUUUCCUGACACUCAGGUGAGGUGCCAGGUCCUGGGUUACCAAGGUCAGGUCAGGUGGUCUGUACUUGCCACCCCUGGGUCGGCUCUCUACCCUGCUUGACUACAUCACAGGAAAAGGCUGGAAAUGGAUCCGGGGCUUGUUGACCUGUAGCUCAUGGAGGCUGAAGAAUUUCCUCCUUGAAGGCAGACCUGAUUUUCCUCCUCACGGAAGAGUUUAGGCCAGUCAUAGGGUGUUUUUCUUCUAUUUAUUUUAUGUUAUGUUAUGUUAUGUUAUGUUAUGUUAUGUUAUGUUAUGUUAUGUUAUGUUAUGCUAUUUUAUUUUAUUUUAGAGACAGAGUCUCACUCUGUUGCCCAGGCUGGAGUGCAGUGGGGCCAUCUCAGCUCACUGCAACCUCUGCCUCCCGGGUUCAAAUGAUUCUCCUGCCUCAGCCUCCUGAGUAGGUGGGAUUACAGGCGUGCACCACCAUGUCUGUCUAAUUUUUGUAUUUUUGGUAGAGAUGGGGUUUCGCCGUGUUGGCAAGGCUGAUCUAGAACUCCUGAGCUCAAGUGAUCCGCCCGCCUCGGCCUCCCAAAGUGCUAGGAUUACAGGCGUGACCCACUGUGCCUGGCUUCUUCUUUAGUAAAUAAACUAUUUUAUCAAAGUAUAAUAUAUCUUCAGAAUAGUGCACACAUCUUAAGUGUACAGUUGGGUGAAUUUUCACAAAGUGAACACACCUGUGUAACCAGCACCCAGCUCAGGAGAUAGAAUUCUCCUGAAUGGGAGUUAGUGUUUAAUGGUACAGAGUUUCAGUUUUACAAGAUGAAAAUAGCUACGGAGAUGGAUGGUGGUGAUAGUUGUACGUUAUAAAUGUAUUGAAUACCACUAAACUGUACACUCAAAAAUGGUAAAUGGUAAAUCUUAUGUGUGUUUCACCACAAUCGUAAAAAAAAAAAAAGAAAAAAGAUCAGCUGGGUGUGGUGGCACAAGCCUGCAGUCCCAGCCAUUUAGGAGGCUAAAGCAGGAGGAUCACUUGAGCCCAGGACUUUGAGGUUACAGUGAACUAUGAUUAUGACACUACACCCCAGCCUGGGAUCCCAUCUCAAAAAUAAGUUUAAAAAAUUUUAGAAAAAGAUUCCCAGCCACUUAGAAUUCUCCACAUGCCUUCCCAAAGCCAAACACUAUCUUGAUUCAUUUUGCCAGUUUUUAACUUUAUUAUUAUUUAUAUUUUAUAGAGACAGAGGGUGGCUGUGAUGCCCAGGCUCGUCUCAAACUCAUGGCCUCUAGUGAUCCUCUUGCCUCACCCUUCCGAGUAGCUGGGAUUCCAGACACAUGAACUUUAUUUUUAUUUUUAUUUUUUGAGACAGAGUCUCGCUCUGUCACCCAGACUGGAGUGCAGUGGCGCAAUCUCGGCUCACUGCAAGCUCCACCUACCCAGUUCACGCCAUUCGCCUGCCUCAGCCUCCUGAGUAGCUGGGACUACAGGUGCCUGCCACCACGCCCAGCUAAUUUAUUUUUUAUUUUUUUAGUAGAGUCGGGGUUUCACCGUGUUAGCCAGAAUGGUCUCGAUCUCCUGACCUCGUGAUCUGCCUGCCUCGGCCUCCCAAAGUGCUGGGAUUACAGGCGUGAGCCACUGCACCUGGCCAUGAACUUUAUAUAAAAUGGAAUCAUGCAGUGCUGUGAUAGAAUCAUAACCACUAAAGAUAUCCACAUCCUAACCCCCAGAAUCUCUGAAUAUGUUACCUUGCCCAACAUAAGGGACUUUGCAGAUGUGAUUUAGUUAAAGACAUUGAGACAGGGAGAUUAUGCUGUAUUAUUCAGUGUGCCCAGUUUAAGCAGAAGAGUCCUUUAUAAGAGGGAGGUGGAAAAGGUAAGAGUGAUGGGAUGUGAAAAAGACUCCACCUUCUGUUGCUGACUUUGAAGAUUGACAAAGAGGCCAUGAGCCAAGGACUAUGGGGUGGCCUCUAGAAGGUGCAAAAGACAAGGAAACAGAUACUCCCCUGGAACCUCCAGAAGGAACACAGCUUCUACCAAUGCUUUGACUUUAGCCAGUGAUCCUUGUCAGACUUCUACAGAAUUAUAAAAUAAUAAAUUUGUGUUGUUUCAAGC